UCUGUAGGUGCCAGCGUCGAUGACAUAAUUUAUCAAUGGUGGGUUCAGUAGUAACUCAAAUCCGUUGCUCUGUAUGUGCCAGCGUGUGACGGAAAUUAUCAUUGGUGGGUCUGGUAGUAACUCAAAUCUGCUGCUAUGUUGUUUUCAGCCUGCUGCUGAGCUCUCUUUACUUUGGGCACUGUUUACCGGCAUCUCAAUCCUGACCUAGCAGGUCUGCUUACCAGCAUCAACAGCUGGAACAUGCACAUUAACUCGUUGACAUGUUUGGGCCAAACAAUAUGGAACAUGGAGGGUGUCUUGUCCUAAGACCUGAGCCAUUCACAUGUAUCGCAAUGCUUUCCCUUACCUCUGGUGCAUCAUGCAAAUGAUAUUCUGCAAUCCAGAAGAACUAGCUACUCAGAAGUGGAUGACAGUGAACAUGAGAAGCUAUGGUUUCCUGAUUUGUAGUUAUGUGUGGUGUUGUCAUGAAGCAUGGUGGUUCUGGCUUUGUGUAAAAUCAUUAUAAGUAUUGUACCUCUUUAGAGGAGUUGAACAUUGAACUAUGUAUGUGAUUCAUGUACCUGAAGUAUCCACUAUGAUGUCUAUUGCUGAAACGAAUAUAACAAUUUACUGAUAA